CUGGGUUAUGGAAUUCCAUAAAGCAUAAUUACCCACUCAGGAUGCACUUUCGCCGCAAGUAGUAGGCUGCUAUUAAAAUAAUAUGUGCCUUUUUUUUUUUUUUCCUAAACAAUGGAUGGAGGCCUUUGUGUUUCACAAAAUAAGUAUAACUAGUGAUGUAACCGCGGAAUCCACGGUUUAUGCAAAAUUGUAUUUUUCUUUAUUGUUUGAUAUGAAAAUUUUCUUUUAGCAAAUUCUUGU
rnacentral:lncRNA from 1 species